GUGUGUGCGAUCGUGAGGAGAGACCAGGGGAAACCUUCCCCUCAAAACCCUAACACCUCUCAAAUCAUCAAAUUAAGAAGAAAAUUGAAGGUCAAUCGAAUGCAUGUGAUCAAUUCCUUAGUCAUCUAAGGGUUUCCCAUCAUGGGUAUAGGAAUCAUGUCAAGACGGACUCAAGCAUAAAAGGAUAACGGGUCAAGAAAAGGCGAGGAAUCGGAUACGAGCACGGACGCAUAAGGUAAGUGAUUUCCGUAAUCACUUCU
rnacentral:lncRNA from 1 species